GACGAACGCUGGCGGCGUGCUUAACACAUGCAAGUCGAACGGAAAGGCCCUGCUUUUGUGGGGUGCUCGAGUGGCGACCGGGUGAGUAACACGUGAGUAACCUGCCCUUGACUUUGGGAUAACUUCAGGAAACUGGGGCUCAUACCGGAUAGGAGCUCCUGCUGCUUGGUGGGGGUUGGAAAGUUUCGGCGGUUGGGUAUGGACUCGCGGCUUAUCAGCUUGUUGGUGGGGUAGUGGCUUACCAAGGCUUUGACGGGUAGCCGGCCUGAGAGGGGGACCGGCCACGUUGGGACUGGGAUACGGCCCAGACUCCUACGGGAGGCAGCGGUGGGGAAGAUUGCACAAUGGGCGGAAGCCUGAUGCAGCGACGCCGCGUGCGGGAUGACGUCCUUCGGGUUGUAAACCGCUUUCGCCUGUGACGAAGCGUGAGUGACGGUAAUGGGUAAAGAAGCACCGGCUAACUACGUG
rnacentral:rRNA from 1 species